UUCAUAAAACAUUCCCUGCAUCCUGCCCUGCCCCAUCCCUUUGUAUGCCUGCAACGCAGCAUCUGCCAUGGUGAAAACCUUCACCUUUGUUUUUGCUUGGUUUUUCUACAGGAAUGGGGACCACGGAUCAUGUCACAGUGCUGGCUUCCACCAACUGUGCUGAUGUCUUGGAUAAUGCUUUGAUGAGACCUGGGAGGCUGGACAGGCACAUCUUCAUUGAUCUUCCAACACUCCAGGAGAGAAGAGAGAUCUUUGAGCAGCACCUGAAGGGCCUCAAACUGAUCCAAGAUG